AUACGAAGGGGGCUAGCGUUGUUCGGAAUUACUGGGCGUAAAGCGCGCGUAGGCGGAUUGGUCAGUUAGGGGUGAAAUCCCGGGGCUUAACCCUGGAACUGCCUCUAAUACUGCCAGUCUUGAGUUCGGGAGAGGUGAGUGGAAUUCCUAGUGUAGAGGUGAAAUUCGUAGAUAUUAGGAAGAACACCAGUGGCGAAGGCGGCUCACUGGCCCGAUACUGACGCUGAGGCGCGAAAGCGUGGGGAGCAAACAGGAUUAGAAACCCCAGUAGUCC
rnacentral:rRNA from 1 species